rnacentral:rRNA from 1 species
UACGUAGGUGGCAAGCGUUGUCCGGAUUUACUGGGUGUAAAGGGCGUGUAGCCGGGCUGACAAGUCAGAUGUGAAAUCCGGGGGCUCAACCCCCGAACUGCAUUUGAAACUGUUGGUCUUGAGUAUCGGAGAGGCAGGCGGAAUUCCUAGUGUAGCGGUGAAAUGCGUAGAUAUAUGGAGGAACACCGGUGGCGAAAGCGGCUCUCUGGCCUGUAACUGACACUGAGGCUCGAAAGCGUGGUGAGCAAACAGG